CACACACACACACACACACACACACACACACACACACAGAGUCUGUGAUGGAAAGUUUUACUAAGAAGGACGAGCAUCAGGAGAUGAUCAGGCGUUGUCCAUCUAGCCAAGGGUGAACAUAAGACAAGGACAUGUGGAAAUUAAAGUUACAUCGGCCAUCUGUUUAUCCCACCCCAAGAGGGCGCCAUCACCUGAGUUUUGGACUUUGCUCUUCCUAUAUCUCUACUUCCUGUAGCCACCUGUUAAAAGCCAUCUGAAACGUGUAUCAUGUUGUGAAGUAUUGCCAGCUUACCACUGUCCCUACUGAGCAUUUUCGUUCAUCUUGCCUUGUUUGCCUCGUGUAUGUGUUAUUGCCUGUUCUUGACCUCGUCAAUUGGAUUACGAUUUGGAUUUGUUUGCUCUACGGAAUAUCUACCUGUUAUUGAACCACUGUCUGUUUAUCUAACCACGAUUCUCAGCCUUCCCCUUUGUUUGUACUGCUGUUUCUUAAUAAAUCUCUGCAUAUGGAUUCUAACACACAACCGAGUCAGUCUCCAACAUUACACUGUACACUGUAAAUAGAUUAAGUUAUACAUGGUGUACGAUUUUUUUUCUCCCUAUAUUGACCUAAAUAAAAGUUUCAGAAACAUCAUUAAUUUCCUUUGUUUCUAUCAUAUUUUCAAUUUUUUUAUUAUAAAAUCCUCACUGUGGGCAUUGUUUGGGUAAAAUGACUCAGUUUCUUUAGGACAGGAGUUACAUUUCAUGAUUGGAUAUGCAUGUUGUC